UGCAUAGCGAGACUGCGAGGCAGCGUUCUCUGCCUUUCAUUUCCGCUCUUUGGAUGGCGGUAGAGAAGGUGGGGCUCUGCAAGCAUUGUGGGAAGGAAUUUCAGCUCAGGAUGUGGCGUGUCCAAGCUGGAGGGAGAGGAGUGCGUUUCCUUCAGUAGAUACACGGGCGUCAAUACUUCCUGCCGUCUUCUAGGUUAGGAGACUGGGACCAACUUCACCUGGGAGGCUUCCUCUGCUACUGAAUGGUUGCUGACCUAACAUCUGUGCGAAUCUUCCUCUAUUUUGUAUGUGGGACACUGCCACAGCAUGGCUUGAUGGGCGGUGUGUAGGUCCACACCUGGGAUCUGAACCUGCAAACCCCAGGCUGCCAAUGCAGAGCACACGAACUUAACCACUACCCCACUGGGCCAGCCUCGAGAGUGAACCUGAAUAAAAGGCAUGGCCUAGCCUUUUUCCUGCUGGAAUAUACAUUAUCUGCUAAGUGGAAACUUUGGCUCUUUUGACUGUCUCUCUGCAUUGAAGGACGAGAUGGCCAAGUCCAUCCUCGCAUCCACUGUAUUUGACAUGGUUGUGAUUUUCUGAUGAUGACAAAUCCAUAAAGCAGGUUCAAAUCUAUGACCGGACAGAGAAAAGAUUUGGGUCAUGGAAGAUUAGCCCUGAGCUAACAUCCGUGCUCAUCUUCCUCUACUUUCUGCGUGGGACACCUACCACAGCAUGGCUUGCCAAGUGGUGUCAUGUCUGCACCUGGGAUCCGAAAAAGUGAACCCUGGACUGCCGAAGCGGAACGUGGGGACUUAACCGCUGCGCCUCCCGGGCCGGCCCCCAUCUUUGUCUUUGUCUAUUUUUUGAAUAAGUGUCUCAUACCAACAGCUGGGUAAUACCACACUACUCAACGAGAGAAUCUCAGCGUCAUUAUUUUCCCACAAUCACCAUGUGAGCAUUUGAACCUCUGUAAGGCAGAGCUUUGGGGAAAAUUAGAAACUCAAAUGAAAGGCAAGUUUCUAGCUGGAAUUUAGAUCAAAGAAGAUCUUAUCCUGGUAGGCUUGCUCUCCAUGAGUUAGAGAGAGACACGGGGCCAUCGUCGACUGGCUUGACAACUGCAAAUCUUGAAGACUCUACAGUGAUCCUUUGUAGUUUAUACUGGUAUGUGUUAUUAUUAAAGCUUGCGCAUCAAGGAAGAAUAUUCUGCUAAUUCUCAAACAGGGUUCUGGCGGUACUGAUGCUGUCAAGUAAAAUCAAUCCAUGUAAAUACAUGGGACGUAUAUUCAAUGAUCCAUUUUGAUUGAUCCACCAAACAUUUAUUCAGCCCCUUAUAAUAAGCAUGAAAUAGAGAUUCAUUAAAGCUUGUUUUUAUCUUAAGGGUGGAGAGAUUCACACAUCAUGUGAGAUACGAACAACUUAUUGAGUGAGGUAUUUUCAUCUCCAUUUUACACACGAGGAAUCGUGGCUGUGACUUCCUAGGAUCGUAUGGCUACGAAAUGGCCCAACUGGAAUUUGACUCUAAGUCCAGGGGGUUCAAGUCCUAUGCUUUUAGCCACUGGAAUUCCCAGAUGUGUGGUUUCUUCCCCAUACCAACCAAUCCUCUGACGUCAGCUCAACGUCCUUCCGUUCAAUUCAGUUCUGACGCUAUUUACCUGGAGCUGGUGUCAGAUCCCACAAGUUAAGGGCUCAGUCCAACAAAACCACUCUCAUUUCAGAUGUCAAUUGCAAAUCCCAGGUUGUCACUUGUACUUCUGACUAACUGGCUAUAAAUUGGGUUCCCUCAACCCUCUCCUCAGGUUCAAUAAUUUGCUAGAGUGGCCCACAGAACUCAGGAGAACACUUACUUAUGUUUACCGGUUUAUUAUAUAAUAAAAGAUAUGAUAAAUGAUACAGAUGAACAGUCUGAGGAAGAGAAACCCAGGGCGAGGUCUGGAUUCCAAGUGCGGGAGCUUCUGUCCCUGUGGAGUUGGGGUGGACCAGCCUCCCAGCUCGAGGUGUGCUCGCCAACCCAGAAGUUCCCUGAACUCUGCAGGUCAGGGAUUUUUUAUGGAGGCUUCAUCACGCAGGCAUGAUCAAUUACUACCUCAAUCUCCAGCCCUUCUCCCCUCCCCAAAGGAUAGGAGGUGGGGCUGGAAGUUCCAGGCUUCUAAUCAUGGCUUGAUUUUUCUGGUGCCUAGUCCCUAUCCUGAAGCUAUCCAGGAUCCCACCAAGAGUUGCCUCCUUACAGCAGAAGAUGCUCCUAUCACCCAGGAAAUUCCAAGGGAUUUAGGAUUUCUGCGUCGGGAACUGGGGUCAAAGAGCAAAUAGUAAAACAAAAGAUGCUCCUAGCACCUUUCUUGAUUAGAAAAUUACAAGGAUUUUAGGAGCUCUUGCCAGGAACCAAGGACAAAGACCAAAGUAUAUGUUUCCUAUUAUAUCAUAUUGUUAUACUGUCUGAGAUUCUUUUGUUUUCUUUCAGGAUCUUACCCCCGGUGUUAGUUCCCAUUAUGUUUCAAACAGGCUGU
rnacentral:lncRNA from 1 species